GUCUAUAUAAGGAAGGUUCGCCGCCUUUCCUGUCCUUUCGUUCCUGAGGCUCCUUGAGCGUCUGUUGUGUUUCCGAUAUGUUUCGUCCUUGUGGGAAUAAUUUGCAGAUGGUUGGCCUGAUCAAGCCGUACAGAAUGGUUGGCGGGAGAGAAGGGCAUCCAGGGAGAUGAGAAUUCGCCUACCACCUUUUAAGUCUCAGGUGACAAAGUGAGGCAGCCUGGUAUAUGAUGAAAGCUUCCUGGACAAGGCAGUUAAGAACAUGUCAGCAAGUGCCAUUCCUCUGGCUAGACAUUUCAGUCAAGGGUUUGCUGACAGCCAAGACCAGGCUUUGAAUGGAGCAGGAACUCCGCAGGAGGAGAGCAUUGGGACGAGGGAGCCAUGGAAGCCAGUGUUCAUCUGAUCUUGAUUUCAGGCACUUCUGGAUUACAGAAUAAUAGCCCACAAGGCUGGGUGUGGCCCACAGGCUAUGCAAAAUACAAAGAAGACUUACUUUUUGGCUGGGGAGUAGUGGUAUGGUGUACACUGCUACUGGAAAUAGAAAAUACUGGCCUAUCUGUAGGAAUAAAAUCUGAUGGUGGUGGUUUCA